rnacentral:lncRNA from 1 species
UUUUCCCAGCUACAUAUAAGGAAUUUGAAAGUCGCAUAAAAUGGUUAAGAAAAUGUGCCAAGAUUACCUCAGUAAUUCUGGUCUGUGUUCUCAGGAGACCCUGGAAAUAAACAAUGAAAAACGUUGACCUCUUGGUGAGAAUGUAAAGAAGGGAACGCUUGCUUAUACACUGUUGGUGAACUGUCACCCCUACAACUCAGCUUGCAACCAGCCCUGGCCACCACCAGUUUCCCCACACUGAGCUGAAUAUUGGACAUGCCCAUCUUAGGCAUUCCAGCCCAUUCUGAAAUUCCACAUCGAUUCACCCGACAAAGUCUGAAGUUCCAGGGCAAUUUAUCUGGAAAAGCUCACCUGGAAUCACGUGUCAUUUCAACCAACAACUGUUGAAGAGGACGUGGCAUUAAAACCAAGGGUAUCAAUUAUUUAUAA